CGCUGGCGGCGUGGAUUAGGCAUGCAUGUCGAGCGAGAAACCGGGGCAACUCGGGAGUAAAGCGGCACACGGGUGAGGAAUGCGUGGAUAACUUGCCUUCGAGCCUGGGAUAACGGUGGGAAACCGCCGCUAAUACCAGAUGGCCUCGGGACGCGGCAUCGCGAUCCGAGUAAAGGUGGGGAUCGAAAGACCUGCUGCUCGUAGAGAGGUUCACGUCCUAUCAGCUAGUUGGUGAGGUAACGGCUCACCAAGGCAACGACGGGUAGGCGAGCUGAGAGGCUGACCGCCCACACUGGGACUGAGACACUGCCCAGACUCCUACGGGAGGCUGCAGUCGAGAAUCUUCCGCAAUGGACGCAAGUCUGACGGAGCGACGCCGCGUGCGGGAUGAAGGUCUUUGGAUUGUAAACCGCUGUCACGUGUUACGAACGCGCAGGACCCAACACGUCCUGCGUUGACUAAGGCGCGAGAGGAAGACACGGCUAACUCUGUG
rnacentral:rRNA from 1 species